rnacentral:lncRNA from 1 species
UAUUGUGAAACCAUACACAUAUUGUUUAAGCCUUGUGAAGGAUUAUUAUGGUGAUACAAACUUCAAGAAAUCUUGAAGAUAAGGAUCAAGGAGUUCACAAGGACAUUUGGACAAUCAUCAAAGGAGGUUCAACAAAUUCCACACAUGGAUUCAGGUUAGCUUCCGCUCAUGUAGUUUAAUUCCGAAUUGUUCAAUAUGAAGGUUAUUGUCUUUAGUAGGAAUCAUAAUCCUUACA